rnacentral:rRNA from 1 species
UACGUAGGUGGCAAGCGUUAUCCGGAAUUACUGGGCGUAAAGCGCACGCAGGUGGCUAUCUAAGAUUGACGUGAAAGCUUCUGGCUUAACUGGAAGAGGUCGGUGAUGACUGGAUGGCUUGAGACGAGGAGAGGGGUGCAGAAUUCCCGGUGUAGUGGUGGAAUGCGUAGAUAUCGGGAGGAAUACCAGUGGCGAAAGCGGCACCCUGGCCUUAGUCUGACGCUCAGGUGCGAAAGCGUGGGUAGCUAACAGG